rnacentral:rRNA from 1 species
CCUACGGGAGGCUGCAGUGGGGAAUAUUGGACAAUGGGCGAAAGCCUGAUCCAGCCAUGCCGCGUGUGUGAAGAAGGCCUUCGGGUUGUAAAGCACUUUCAGUGGGGAAGAAAGCCUUGGGGCUAAUACCCUCGAGGAAGGACAUCACCCACAGAAGAAGCACCGGCUAACUCCGUGCCAGCAGCCGCGGUAAUACGGAGGGUGCGAGCGUUAAUCGGAAUUACUGGGCGUAAAGCGCGCGUAGGCGGUCUGAUAAGCCGGUUGUGAAAGCCCCGGGCUCAACCUGGGAACGGCAUCCGGAACUGUCAGGCUAGAGUGCAGGAGAGGAAGGUAGAAUUCCCGGUGUAGCGGUGAAAUGUGUAGAGAUCGGGAGGAAUACCAGUGGCGAAGGCGGCCUUCUGGACUGACACUGACGCUGAGGUGCGAAAGCGUGGGUAGCAAACAGGAUUAGAUACCCUUGUAGUC